UUCCAACCCCAUGUGAUUCUGUAGACUUCAGUCUCUCACAUCUGCCCGUGGUAACCUCUAGGUGUUCUGCUGGGCAUCUGCUUCCCACAGCUGUGGGAUGCACUGGGUGGCACGCGAGGACCGUCCUGCUCGAUGCACCCCCUGAGCACAGGACACCUUUCCUCCUUCAGAAGGUGCCCUGGGAGCGGUUGGUGUGUAGCUGGUCUCCCAGCCAUGUUCAGAGGAUCCAACUCUGUCCAAUACACUCUUGGCUGUCUCUCCUCCCUUGUUACUUCUCAUCUGCAUCACUGUCCAGCAGUUUCAUUUGUUAUUUUCAGAGCUAUUGAUUGGAAAGGAGAAACAUUACGAUGGAGAUUCUGGUUUAUUUCUGAAGUCUUAUAGGACCUUUUCUCAGGAUAUUCUCUCUUCUCUUUCUCAUCCCCUGUGUGAUACUGUCUUGUUUUUGCUUUGCAGGAGUUGUUUGUUGAAACCAUAGCCAAAGAUGCUUAUGUGUACGCUCAGCAAGGAAAAAGGAAAACUCUGCAGAGAAAAGACCUCGAUAAUGCCAUUGAAGCUAUUGAUGAAUUCGCAUUUUUGGAAGGUACUUUGGACUGAGCUGGACAGAGACAGUGCUCUCUGGAGAAAGAGGCUGCAGAGAUGGACGUGGGGUGGAAAACAGGAUGUUGAGAGUUCAAAAAUAAUUCCUAGAAUUGAGUCGUUGAGAUGGCAACUAUAGUAUUUUGUAUAAAGUUUAAGUUGUUGUAAGUUCUUUAUUUAAAAUGCAUAUUUUUUCAUAAAUAUUUUGUAUGUCACUUACCUGUGCCCUGCCACCAGCUCUCCAGCUUUGGUUGCUCGGAGAAGUGGCUCCUGCCUCUCCAGGUACCUGGCAGCACCGCAGGGCUGGGGGUGGAAAGUGGCUCAGAUGCCCAGGCAUGGGGAAUUUUUUUAAUGGAAAUGUAUUUUUCUUUGUAUAUGUUUGUUUCUUGGCUGAACACAAUUAAAUUUAUAUUUUUUUUUGGUUGAA